AUGCUUGAUGAACUUAGUGGAGCCAACUAUUUCUCUAAAAUGGAUCUUAAAAGUGGCUAUUAUCAAAUCCGCAUACAAGAGGGUGAUGAAUGGAAAACCGCUUUCAAAACCAAAUUUGGGUUAUAUGAGUGGUUACUCAUGCCUAUGGGUUUAUCGAAGGCUCCCGGUACUUUCGUGCGUCUCAUGCAUCAUGUACUUCGCCCUUAUAUUGGAGUCUUUGUUGUGGUUUACUUCGAUGAUAUUCUUGUGUUUAGCAAAACCAUGAAAGAGCAUCUUGAUCAUGUUAGGGCUGUUUUGCAAAAACUUCGCAAGGAAAGUAUUUAUGCCAACAUGAAAAAGUGCACAUUUGGUGUUGACAAAGUGGUUUUCUUGGGCUUCGUUGUCUCUUCCAAGGGUGUCCAUGUUGACGAAACUAAAAUUGAAGCAAUUAAAACUUGGGCCCAACCCACCAAUUUGCAACAAGUGCGUAGUUUUCUUGGUCUUGCAGGUUUUUAUAGUCACUUCGUGAAAGACUUUAGCACUAUUGUCGCUCCUUUGCAUGCUUUGAGUAAGAAGAAUGCUUCUUUUGUUUGGGGAUCUUUGCAAUCCACUGCUUUUGAUGAGCUCAAGUCUUUGCUUACUCAUGCUCUGAUUCUUGCUUUGCCCUACUUUGACAAAACUUUUGAGGUUCAUUGUGAUGCAAGUGGUACCGGAAUUGGCGGAAUUUUGAUGCAAGAAAAACAAGAAAUUGCAUACUUUAGUGAAAAACUUUCCGGUGCUCAACUUAACUAUCCCAUCUAUGACAAAUAA
rnacentral:rRNA from 1 species